rnacentral:rRNA from 1 species
AUUCCAGCUCCAAUAGCGUAUAUUAAAGUUGUUGCAGUUAAAAAGCUCGUAGUUGGAUUUCUGGUGGGAACGAUCGGUCUGGCGCUUAGCGCGAGUACUUGCAUCGUCUCCGGCCAUCCUUGGGGAGAGUCUGUCUGGCAUUAAGUUGUCGGGCAGAGGAUCCUCAUCGGUUACUUUGAAAAAAUUAGAGUGCUCAAAGCAAGCCUACGCUCUGAAUACAUUAGCAUGGAAUAACGCGAUAGGAGUCUGGUCCUGUUCCGUUGGCCUUCGGGACCGGAGUAAUGAUUAAUAGGGACUGUCGGGGGCAUUCGUAUUUCAUUGUCAGAGGUGAAAUUCUUGGAUUUAUGGAAGACGAACCACUGCGAAAGCAUUUGCCAAGGAUGUUUUCAUUG